rnacentral:rRNA from 1 species
GACGAACGCUGGCGGCGUGCUUAACACAUGCAAGUCGAACGGAAAGGCCCUGCUUUUGUGGGGUGCUCGAGUGGCGAACGGGUGAGUAACACGUGAGUAACCUGCCCUUGACUUUGGGAUAACUUCAGGAACCUGGGGCUAAUACCGGAUAGGAGCUCCUGCUGCAUGGUGGGGGUUGGAAAGUUUCGGCGGUUGGGGAUGGACUCGCGGCUUAUCAGCUUGUUGGUGGGGUAGUGGCUUACCAAGGCUUUGACGGGUAGCCGGCCUGAGAGGGUGACCGGCCACAUUGGGACUGAGAUACGGCCCAGACUCCUACGGGAGGCAGCAGUGGGGAAUAUUGCACCAUGGGCGGAGGCCUGAUGCAGCAACGCCGCGUGCGGGAUGACGGCCUUCGGGUUGUAAACCGCUUUCGCCUGUGACGAAGCGUGAGUGACGGUAAUGGGUAAAGAAGCACCGGCUAACUACGUG